rnacentral:rRNA from 1 species
CGGGGUGCACCAGGCGCGAAACCUCUGCAAUAGGCGAAAGCUUGACAGGGUUACUCUGAGUGACGUCCGUUAAGGACGUCUUUUGGCACCUCUAAAAAUGGUGCAGAAUAAGGGGUGGGCAAGUCUGGUGUCAGCCGCCGCGGUAAUACCAGCACCCCGAGUGGUCGGGACGACUAUUGGGCCUAAAGCAUCCGUAGCCGGUUCUGCAAGUCUUCCGUUAAAUCCACCUGCUCAACAGAUGGGCCGCGGAGGAUACUACAGGGCUAGGAGGCGGGAGAGGCAAGCGGUACUCAGUGGGUAGGGGUAAAAUCCUCUGAUCCACUGAAGACCACCAGUGGCGAAGGCGGCUUGCCAGAACGCGCUCGACGGUGAGGGAUGAAAGCUGGGGGAGCAAACCGGAUUAGAUACCCGGGUAGUCCCAGCUGUAAACGAUGCAGACUCGGUGAUGGGUUGGCUUCGAGCCAACCCAGUGCCGCAGGGAAGCCGUUAAGUCUGCCGCCUGGGGAGUACGGUCGCAAGACUGAAACUUAAAGGAAUUGGCGGG